rnacentral:pre_miRNA from 1 species
UGGAAGACUAGUGAUUUUGUUGUUUUUAGAUAAUUAAAUUGACAACAAAUCACAGUCUGCCAUA